AACGCUGGCGGCAGGCUUAACACAUGCAAGUCGAGCGCCCCGCAAGGGGAGCGGCAGACGGGUGAGUAACGCGUGGGAAUCUACCCAUCUCUACGGAACAACUCCGGGAAACUGGAGCUAAUACCGUAUACGUCCUUCGGGAGAAAGAUUUAUCGGAGAUGGAUGAGCCCGCGUUGGAUUAGCUAGUUGGUGGGGUAAUGGCCUACCAAGGCGACGAUCCAUAGCUGGUCUGAGAGGAUGAUCAGCCACACUGGGACUGAGACACGGCCCAGACUCCUACGGGAGGCAGCAGUGGGGAAUAUUGGACAAUGGGCGAAAGCCUGAUCCAGCCAUGCCGCGUGAGUGAUGAAGGCCCUAGGGUUGUAAAGCUCUUUCAACGGUGAAGAUAAUGACGGUAACCGUAGAAGAAGCCCCGGCUAACUUCGUGCCAGCAGCCGCGGUAAUACGAAGGGGGCUAGCGUUGUUCGGAAUUACUGGGCGUAAAGCGCACGUAGGCGGAUACUUAAGUCAGGGGUGAAAUCCCGGGGCUCAACCCCGGAACUGCCUUUGAUACUGGGUAUCUCGAGUCCGGAAGAGGUGAGUGGAAUUCCGAGUGNAGAGGNGAAAUUCGUAGAUAUUCGGAGGAACACCAGUGGCGAAGGCGGCUCACUGGUCCGGUACUGACGCUGAGG
rnacentral:rRNA from 1 species